rnacentral:rRNA from 1 species
ACGAACGCUGGCGGCGUGCUUAACACAUGCAAGUCGAACGGAAAGGCCCUGCUUGCAGGGUACUCGAGUGGCGAACGGGUGAGUAACACGUGGGUGAUCUGCCCUGCACUUCGGGAUAAGCCUGGGAAACUGGGUCUAAUACCGGAUAGGAGCCAUUUUUAGUGUGAUGGUUGGAAAGUUUUUUCGGUGUAGGAUGAGCUCGCGGCCUAUCAGCUUGUUGGUGGGGUAAUGGCCUACCAAGGCGGCGACGGGUAGCCGGCCUGAGAGGGUGGACGGCCACAUUGGGACUGAGAUACGGCCCAGACUCCUACGGGAGGCAUCAGUGGGGAAUAUUGCACAAUGGGCGCAAGCCUGAUGCAGCGACGCCGCGUGGGGGAUGACGGCCUUCGGGUUGUAAACUCCUUUCGCUAGGGACGAAGCUUUUUGUGACGGUACCUAGAUAAGAAGCACCGGCUAACUACGUG